AACGAACGCUGGCGGCAUGCCUAACACAUGCAAGUCGAACGAGACCUUCGGGUCUAGUGGCGCACGGGUGCGUAACGCGUGGGAACCUGCCCUUAGGUUCGGAAUAACUCCCCGAAAGGGGUGCUAAUACCGGAUAAUGUCUUCGGACCAAAGAUUUAUCGCCUUUGGAUGGGCCCGCGUUGGAUUAGCUAGUUGGUAGGGUAAAAGCCUACCAAGGCGACGAUCCAUAGCUGGUCUGAGAGGAUGAUCAGCCACACUGGGACUGAGACACGGCCCAGACUCCUACGGGAGGCAGCAGUGGGGAAUAGUGGACAAUGGGCGAAAGCCUGACCCAGCAAUGCCGCGUGAGUGAUGAAGGCCUUAGGGUUGUAAAGCUCUUUUACCCGGGAUGAUAAUGACAGUACCGGGAGAAUAAGCUCCGGCUAACUCCGUG
rnacentral:rRNA from 1 species